rnacentral:rRNA from 1 species
CCUACGGGUGGCUGCAGUGGGGAAUAUUGGACAAUGGGCGAAAGCCUGAUCCAGCCAUGCCGCGUGUGUGAAGAAGGCCUUCGGGUUGUAAAGCACUUUCAGUGGGGAAGAAAGCCUUGGGGCUAAUACCCUCGAGGAAGGACAUCACCCACAGAAGAAGCACCGGCUAACUCCGUGCCAGCAGCCGCGGUAAUACGGAGGGUGCGAGCGUUAAUCGGAAUUACUGGGCGUAAAGCGCGCGUAGGCGGUCUGAUAAGCCGGUUGUGAAAGCCCCGGGCUCAUCCUGGGAACGGCAUCCGGAACUGUCAGGCUAGAGUGCAGGAGAGGAAGGUAGAAUUCCCGGUGUAGCGGUGAAAUGCGUAGAGAUCGGGAGGAAUACCAGUGGCGAAGGCGGCCUUCUGGACUGACACUGACGCUGAGGUGCGAAAGCGUGGGUAGCAAACAGGAUUAGAUACCCUGGUAGUC